rnacentral:rRNA from 1 species
GACGAACGCUGGCGGCGUGCUUAACACAUGCAAGUCGAACGGUGAAGCGCUUGCCUUUUUGGUGGGUGUGGAUGAGUGGCGAACGGGUGAGUAACACGUGAGUAACCUGCCCUCUUCUUCUGGAUAACCUCAUGAAAGUGGGGCUAAUACGGGGUAUUCCGGGUCUGUCGCAUGGCGGGUUUGGGAAAGAUUGCGCCUUUGGGUGUUUUCGGUGGGGGAUGGGCUCGCGGCCUAUCAGCUUGUUGGUGGGGUGAUGGCCUACCAAGGCGGUGACGGGUAGCCGGCCUGAGAGGGUGGACGGCCACACUGGGACUGAGACACGGCCCAGACUCCUGCGGGAGGCAGCAGUGGGGAAUAUUGCACAAUGGGCGCAAGCCUGAUGCAGCGACGCCGCGUGAGGGAUGGAGGCCUUCGGGUGGUGAACCUCUUUCGCCAGUGAAGCAGGCCUGCUCCUGUGUGGGUGGGUUGACGGUAGCUGGAUAAGAAGCGCCGGCUAACUACGUG